GGCCUCCCGGUGCUCACCACAGGCUGUGUUCUUACACUGACUGUACAGACGGUGGAGGCAGAGCAAACCCCACACACCCCUCGGCCCCGGCCCUUUGCCUGGUCUGCACUGGGAAUGGGAGGACAUAG